rnacentral:other from 1 species
AUAUUCCUGGGGUGUUCGACAACCUCGUUAUUUUGAACCUACAUUUAUUGAACCGGGAUUCUAACAUUUAUAUUGCAAUGUCAGGCCUCAUUAGUACAGAUCAGUGGAAGACAGAACAUUAUGUGAAGAAACCCACCUAGCUUAGCUAGGAGUCAAAAUACGAGAAUCGGCAUUUUGGGGUAUU